rnacentral:rRNA from 1 species
AGAGUUUGAUCCUGGCUCAGGAUGAACGCUAGCGACAGGCUUAACACAUGCAAGUCGAGGGGCAGCACAGGUAGCAAUACCGGGUGGCGACCGGCGCACGGGUGAGUAACGCGUAUGCAACUUGCCUAUCAGAGGGGGAUAACCCGGCGAAAGUCGGACUAAUACCGCAUGAAGCAGGGGCCCCGCAUGGGGAUAUUUGCUAAAGAUUCAUCGCUGAUAGAUAGGCAUGCGUUCCAUUAGGCAGUUGGCGGGGUAACGGCCCACCAAACCGACGAUGGAUAGGGGUUCUGAGAGGAAGGUCCCCCACAUUGGUACUGAGACACGGACCAAACUCCUACGGGAGGCAGCAGUGAGGAAUAUUGGUCAAUGGCCGAGAGGCUGAACCAGCCAAGUCGCGUGAAGGAAGAAGGAUCUAUGGUUUGUAAACUUCUUUUAUAGGGGAAUAAAGUGGAGGACGUGUCCUUUUUUGUAUGUACCCUAUGAAUAAGCAUCGGCUAACUCCGUGCCAGCAGCCGCGGUAAUACGGAGGAUGCGAGCGUUAUCCGGAUUUAUUGGGUUUAAAGGGUGCGUAGGUGGUGAUUUAAGUCAGCGGUGAAAGUUUGUGGCUCAACCAUAAAAUUGCCGUUGAAACUGGGUUACUUGAGUGUGUUUGAGGUAGGCGGAAUGCGUGGUGUAGCGGUGAAAUGCAUAGAUAUCACGCAGAACUCCGAUUGCGAAGGCAGCUUACUAAACCAUAACUGACACUGAAGCACGAAAGCGUGGGGAUCAAACAGGAUUAGAUACCCUGGUAGUCCACGCAGUAAACGAUGAUUACUAGGAGUUUGCGAUACAAUGUAAGCUCUACAGCGAAAGCGUUAAGUAAUCCACCUGGGGAGUACGCCGGCAACGGUGAAACUCAAAGGAAUUGACGGGGGCCCG